rnacentral:rRNA from 1 species
UACAGAGGUCCCAAGCGUUGUUCGGAUUCAUUGGGCGUAAAGGGUGCGUAGGCGGCGCGGUAAGUCGGGUGUGAAAUCUCGGAGCUUAACUCCGAAACUGCAUUCGAUACUGCCGUGCUUGAGGACUGGAGAGGAGACUGGAAUUUACGGUGUAGCGGUGAAAUGCGUAGAUAUCGUAAGGAAGACCAGUGGCGAAGGCGGGCCUCUGGACAGUUCCUGACGCUGAGGCACGAAGGUCAGGGGAGCAAACGGG